rnacentral:rRNA from 1 species
UAGCCGGACUGAGAGGUUGAACGGCCACAUUGGGACUGAGAUACGGCCCAGACUCCUACGGGAGGCAGCAGUCGGGAAUAUUGCGCAAUGGAGGAAACUCUGACGCAGUGACACCGCGUAUAGGAAGAAGGUUUUCGGAUUGUAAACUAUUGUCGUUAGGGAAGAUAAAAGACAGUACCUAAGGAGGAAGCUCCGGCUAACUACGUGCCAGCAGCCGCGGUAAUACGUAGGGAGCAAGCGUUAUCCGGAUUUAUUGGGUGUAAAGGGUGCGUAGACGGGACAACAAGUUAGUUGUGAAAUCCCUCGGCUUAACUGAGGAACUGCAACUAAAACUAUUGUUCUUGAGUGUUGGAGAGGAAAGUGGAAUUCCUAGUGUAGCGGUGAAAUGCGUAGAUAUUAGGAGGAACACCGGUGGCGAAGGCGACUUUCUGGACAAUAACUGACGUUGAGGCACGAAAGUGUGGGGAGCAAACAGGAUUAGAUACCCUGGUAGUCCACACCGUAAACGAUGGAUACUAGGUGUAGGAAAUGAUUUCAAUUUUUUGUGCCGUCGCAAAACGCAAUAAGUAUCCCACCUGGGGAGUACGGCCGCAAGGUUGAAACUCAAAGGAAUUGACGGGGGCCCGCACAAGCAGUGGAGUAUGUGGUUUAAUUCGAAGCAACGCGAAGAACCUUACCAGGGCUUGACAUAUAGAUGAAUAACUAAGAGAUUAGUUAGUCCUUCGGGACAUCUAUACAGGUGGUGCAUGGUUGUCGUCAGCUCGUGUCGUGAGAUGUUAGGUUAAGUCCUGCAACGAGCGCAACCCCUGUGAUUAGUUGCCAACAGGUUAAGCUGGGAACUCUAAUCAGACUGCCGGUGAUAAAUCGGAGGAAGGUGGGGAUGACGUCAAAUCAUCAUGCCCUUUAUGUCCUGGGCUACACACGUACUACAAUGGCUGUAACAGAGAGAAGCAACACCGCGAGGUAGAGCGAAACUCCAAAAGCAGUCUCAGUUCGGAUUGAAGGCUGAAAUUCGCCUUCAUGAAGCCGGAAUUGCUAGUAAUGGCAGGUCAGCAUACUGCCGUGAAUACGUUCCCGGGCCUUGUACACGCCCCCCGUC